rnacentral:rRNA from 1 species
UACAGAGGGUGCAAGCGUUGUUCGGAAUUACUGGGCGUAAAGAGCGCGCAGGCGGUCGUUCAAGUCGCGUGUGAAAGCCCCCCGGCUCAACUGGGGAGGGUCACGCGAUACUGAUCGACUCGAAGGCAGGAGAGGGUAGUGGAAUUCCCGGUGUAGUGGUGAAAUGCGUAGAUAUCGGGAGGAACACCAGUGGCGAAGGCGACUACCUGGCCUGUUCUUGACGCUGAGGCGCGAAAGCUAGGGGAGCAAACGGGG